rnacentral:rRNA from 1 species
UACAGAGGGUGCAAGCGUUAUCCGGAUUUACUGGGCGUAAAGCGUUUCGUAGGCGGUUUGGUAAGUUAUAAUUCAAAGACCACGGCUUAACCGGGGGAAGGGUUGUAAUACUGCCAGACUAUUAGAGGGUUCAAGGGGCAACUGGAACUGUUGGUGUAGGAGUGAAAUCCGUUGAUAUCAACAGGAACGUCAAGGGCGUAGGCAAGUUGCUGGGGAACAUCUGACGCUGAGGAACGACAGCUAGGGGAGCGAAAGGG